rnacentral:lncRNA from 1 species
UACAACUUUCGACGAGGAGAAGAGAGAGAGAGAGAGAGAGAUGCCACCAUCGUCUUGUGUGAGAGAGUGUGAAGAUAGACCAACCACAGCACGGAAGCUCCGUUGUAUAUAGUGGAGCAAAUUACUUUUUCCCGAUAACAAUCAUUUUAUAUUCUUUACGUGCCAUUGAUCAAUAUAACUUUAUUUAAAAGUAACGCACCAACGCAUCAAGUCGAACUUUGUUUCGUGCAUGCUUUGUACACGAUCCUCCUUCAAGUAAACAACCACUACACACGUCAAAUUAGCACGUGGGCUGCCUUUUCGUACAGAAAUGAGCUCCACCAUGUACCCACGCGGGUGUGGUUGCGAACGAGACAUGAGUACGUGCAUCGUGCGUGCACCUCUUCUCUUCGUGCACAUACCCCAACUACGUGGGUGUGUGUGAGAGAAGAAACCUAGAGAGAGAUGGAGUGUGGGUUCGUGAGUGUUUUUUUGGGGCGUGCGUGAGAGAUAGACAGGGAAUAUGUAUCGAUGAUAUCUCAAACAAAAAAUCCAGCAUAUGCAAUGUGUGUGAAACAGAGGCCUAGAUAUAUCAUAUAUAGAGGGGGCGAUCCACGAGAAAAGAGUGGAGGGAUCAUCGGUGUGAGAUAUCGAUAGAUUCGAGGAGAGGGAUGAAGUGUAUGGGUGCGUGAUCGAUAAAGAGAAC